rnacentral:rRNA from 1 species
UACGUAGGGUGCGAGCGUUAAUCGGAAUUACUGGGCGUAAAGCGUGCGCAGGCGGUUUUGUAAGUCAGGUGUGAAAUCCCCGGGCUUAACCUGGGAACUGCGUUUGAAACUACAAGGCUAGAGUGUAGCAGAGGGGGGUGGAAUUCCACGUGUAGCAGUGAAAUGCGUAGAUAUUGGGAAGAACACCGGAGGCGAAGGCGGGUUGCUGGGCCGACACUGACGCUGAGGCGCGAAAGCCAGGGGAGCAAACGGG